rnacentral:lncRNA from 1 species
AUAUACUUUCAUAUAUAAUAUCAAACUGCGAUAUAAACCAACUUAUCAAGAUGAACUAUCUUGAAUAAAAAAUAUGGAAAUUAUACUCUAAAUUAAAUUAUUGAGCGACAAACCUAGUAUUCAAGUUGCAGAUUGAUAAUAAACGCACACAUAAUCAUCUUUAUAAGUUUUACAUGGCAGGUGAUUGGGUCCAUAUUCACCUUUAAUAAAUUUCAAAAUUCAAUCCCAAUUUUAGUUGGUAUAAUAAUUGCGAGAACAAGCAACACAAGAGAAUUCAGGAAGAAUCUUCUUCAAUACUUAUCCAUGUAAAUUCUCUGUUAUUUUACACAUCAUACUUAAAUCAAGAUUGCUCAUUAGGCUAUGCAUGAUAAAAUUGUCCGUAUCAGUAAACUUUAGGCUUACAUCAUGACAUGUGCUAUUGUUAAUUAAACUACUACUUUAAUAUGAUAUGAGUUUUUAUAUCCAUAAAUAUCCAGUUUACUGUUUUAUGUAAUUUUACCAUAUUUUUUUAUUUGUGUAGUAUAAAUUGUGAAAAUAUAAAGAUAUUAAAUCUUCUCGUUAUUUAUAGUCUCAACUACCCACUUCAUGAAAACUUUAGAAACUAAUAAAUUUCUUUGCGAAUUACUACAACACAAUGCCUUUUUGAUAAUCAAUUUUAUUCCUCCAAAGUAAUAAUUUUCUCUUCUAGAGCUCUCAAAUAAUUUUGCACCAUCACAUAUUCAUCAAUAUCCAUAUGGUGAGUAUCUCUUUUAAAGAGAAGAUUAUACCAUUAUAGUCAUGGUCAAAAUUAUAUGCAAGAUGUGUUUCUUGUAUUGUUGUUGUCCUUUAAUAAUCACAUAGCCUAAAUAUUUUAGCGUACAAUAGUUAUGUGACCAAUGACCAUUCAUGCCAAAAUAAUGACACUAUUUUCUUAUUUCAUCUCAAACCUCCUUCUAGAGGUGAGCGUGGUAUAUUCACUACCAAUAGUACCGUUUAUAUUCCUCCAAGAAUGAAUAUGUAUUCAUAAUAGUUAUUUUCACAUUCACUUCAGGAAUGAAACAUAAUAAUCUAUACGUGCUUUAUAAAAUCUCAUGCCAAAUCAAUGGCAAAUACUACUUUCACAAAAGUAAAGGAUUAUUUUAAAAACCAUUAUUAUUCUCGUUACCACAAUAAUUACGAUUAUAACUUCGUCCAUUAUUACGUCCACAUCAAUUCACACCCCCCACAGUAGCAACAUGUCUUAAAUUAGACUUAUGAGAUGGUUUCCGCUAUUGGUGAAAUUUACCAAUUCGCGUGGUUAUAAUUUCUUGAAACUUUAUUAGAGUAGGAGCAUAUAUUUUAAUAUACUAUAAAAUAAAUUAUACAUAUUGAUAAAAUAUAAUUAAAACUGCAUUAGGAUAAGAUAUUACGUGAAACAGUAAAGAGAAGAAAAGAUAAAUCGUACUUCAACCACCUCGGUUUAUAUCAUCUUUAUGUUAAUUGUCACAUGUCUCCAUGGUAGGACAUAUAGAUUCCUCAUCAUGUUUGAGUCAUGGACAACCAAGGUUAAGAUUUGGGGUGAGACUUCAAUAUUAGAUCAUAACUUCAAGAUCCUCAGCAAGCAUUCUUCGAUAUGUCUGCAUACUCAUAACUCAAAAGUGAAGCAAAUAUAUGAGUAUAUGAAACAAAAGCCAAAAGAAACAAACAAGAACGGACGAGCAAAAACAUAUCCCCUACUCAAGGAAAUAGGUUGAAGCAGACAAUCUCCAUUGAUCAAAAUUUCGUGCCGAUAACGUAAUAUGAAAUAAUAAAAAAUAAAGUAAAAUAAAAGAAAUUUAGAUAGUGAUAAUGCUAGAUCUUUUCUUG